rnacentral:sRNA from 1 species
UGUGUGUGUGUGUACAUGGACCUCUGAACAGGUAUCGACCCAAGGUGAGCGAGAUUAUCUUCCUUCAGGGCUUCUGUUACUCCCACACCAUUACGACUUUAGAGACACUUUGUCUAAGAUGUGUCUGUACUAGACCAGAAAGCACCGGGAAUUCAUAGUCUGUUUCCUAGUGUCUCCCUAGAGCUGGGAUUGCAGCCUGAUUUUUUAGCCAGUGCUGGGGAACAGAUCUCAGGUGAUGAUACUUGAGCCUCAAACACUUUAAGCACUGAGCGAUGGCGCUGGCCCAGCGGUUUUCAGCUGGAGAUCGCAAAGGUCCUCGUACUUUGCUCAGAGGACCGCUUGGUAGAGAAGCAGGAUCCCAAAGUCUAAAGUAAACACAAAUUUUUACCACACCAUUUUCCUUUGUCUCAGGUUUCUCUCCUUUCUCCCUUUGACUUCUAGACCUGAAGGCCCAAUAGUCUCUCCCAUCACCUCUGAGGCAAGCCUGCGCUGACUCGAAACCACCUCGCCCUCGGUGGCAAGGAAUAUAAACUCUGCCAGAGACCUGCUCUUCUUCUUCUGCCAAUGAUUGCCAUCCCAGUUUAAAAAAAAAAAAGGGCCCUACCAGAUGACAGGUUUUAUGCCAGGUUUAUGUCCUGACUGGAACAGCCAUGCCACGUGCAGAAGACAGUGUUUCAAAGCACUCCUCUCCAUGUUCCUGCUCUCAGAAUCUGUCCACUUUUUCUUUCAUUGAUGUUCCUCAGGUUUAGAGAUGGCAAUACUGAUGUCCUGCUUAGGGUCGAGAGCUCAACAGUCACUUGUUUUCAACACAUCAACCAGAUGAACUAUCUAUGGGGUAUUGAAAUCACCUCUUGUUACUAAGUUGGGCAUAAUUUGGACCUUGACAUUCUAAUACUUUGAUUUUUAUGAAAAAACAGAGUCCAAAUAAUGCUUCCAGUAGUCUCUGUAGGACUGGAUUGCUGGGUAUGAGUUCUUUCAACCCGUUUACAUGGUAAGUUGUUUUUUUUUUCCUUCAACUAUGGCAGAUAAUUUUGGUGGGUAAAGUAGUCUGGGUUGCCAUCUGUAGUCUUUUAGAACUUGAAAUAUAUUAGUCUCCUAUCUGCUGGCUUUAACGAUUUCCACUGAGAAGUCGGCACUUAUUCCAAUGGACUUCCCUCCAUGUGAGACUUGUGGUUUUUCCAGGAGGAAAAGCAGGAAGAGGCAUCCAUGGUUUGAAGUGAGUUAAGAAACUGUGGGAAAAAGCAGUGUCCUGAGGAAGAUUUAGACUAAUCUUGGAAGUGAAACUCUGGACAUGUUUGUGAGGGGUUUUCUACUUUAGGUUAAUUGAACUGAGAAGACCUACCCUAAAUACGAGUGGUGCCAGUCCAUGGGCUGAUGUUCCAGAAUAAAACAAAGAAAAGGAGCUGAGCACCAGUAUUUAUCUUUAUCUCCUGACUGCGGAUAUCAGAGAUCCAUCUACCUCAAGUUCCUGAUGCUGCAUCUUUCCCACCAUGAUGGACUCUGUGAGCCAAAAUAAA